UUUUACAUGUAACUGAGAUGGCUACAGGGAAGGAAAAGAGUAGUGUUGUCCAUGGCGAAGCCCAGAAGGUUGUGACGGAGUUUGAUGCUCCUAAGAAGAAUGGAAGAAACAAGUAUGCCAUUGCUUGUACUAUUUUGGCUUCUAUGACCUCCAUUUUGUUGGGUUAUGGUGAGUUCAGAUGGGUUUUUAUGGGGUGGUUUGUUUUAUGGGAAAAAAAGAAGUAUGUCUUGGUAUAGUUUGUAUAAUUUUUUUUUUCAGUGGAGCCAAACACUAUGAUAUGGUCUUUAGACUCUGUACUGAUUUUUUUUUUAAUUAAUUAAUUAAUUUAAUUUUUUUCUGUGUUUUUGUGUGUUGCAGAUAUUGGAGUAAUGAGUGGAGCGGCCAUAUAUAUAAAAAAGGACCUCAAGAUCAGCGAUGUAGAAGUCGAAAUUCUGGUGGGAAUCCUCAACGUGUAUUGUUUAUUCGGUUCUGCUGCCGCCGGCAGGACCUCAGACUGGAUCGGUCGCCGAUACACAAUAGUAUUGGCCUCUGUCAUCUUCUUCCUCGGGGCUCUGCUCAUGGGCUUCGCUACCAACUAUGUUUUUCUCAUGGUGGGCCGCUUCGUGGCCGGAAUCGGCGUUGGCUACGCCCUCAUGAUCGCUCCUGUCUACGCCGCCGAGGUUUCUCCGGCGUCCUCACGUGGCUUCAUCACCUCAUUCCCCGAAGUUUUCAUCAACGCUGGAAUCUUAUUCGGCUAUAUCUCCAACUACGCCUUCUCCAAGCUCCCAACUAACCUUGGCUGGCGAUUCAUGCUUGGCAUCGGUGCAAUUCCCUCCGUUUUCCUCGCCUUGGUCGUCAUCG
rnacentral:lncRNA from 1 species